AUGAGCGGCCCCAGUAGCGGCGAGGGCGGCGCGGGGGGGAGGAGGAGAAGAAGGAGGAGAAGAAGGAGGUCGCUGUCUUUGUAG